UGGUGUGUAGCUUAGUGUUAAGGCAUCUGUUUAGCAUGCACAAGGCCCUGGGUUCAAUCCCCAGCACCAA
rnacentral:tRNA from 1 species